rnacentral:rRNA from 1 species
UACGAAGGGGGCUAGCGUUGCUCGGAAUCACUGGGCGUAAAGGGCGCGUAGGCGGCGUUUUAAGUCGGGGGUGAAAGCCUGUGGCUCAACCACAGAAUGGCCUUCGAUACUGGGACGCUUGAGUAUGGUAGAGGUUGGUGGAACUGCGAGUGUAGAGGUGAAAUUCGUAGAUAUUCGCAAGAACACCGGUGGCGAAGGCGGCGAUCUGGACGAUGACUGACGCUGAGACGCGAAAGCGUGGGGAGCAAACAGG